AGGACGAACGCUGGCGGCGUGCUUAACACAUGCAAGUCGAGCGGAAAGGCCCUUCGGGGUACUCGAGCGGCGAACGGGUGAGUAACACGUGAGCAACCUGCCUCUGACAUUGGAAUAACAGUUGGAAACAGCUGCUAAUACCGGGUAUGACCUGUCACCGCAUGGUGGUGGGUGGAAAGCCUUGGCGGUCAGAGAUGGGCUCGCGGCCUAUCAGCUAGUUGGUGAGGUAAUGGCUCACCAAGGCUUCGACGGGUAGCCGG
rnacentral:rRNA from 1 species